CCCUAUGCUGCCGAGAAAAGCCUCUAGCGAGCUGGUACAUGGCCCGUACCCCAAACCGACACAGGUGGUCAGGUAGAGAAUACUAAGGCGAUCGAGAGAACUGUGGUUAAGGAACUCGGCAAAAUGCCCCCGUAACUUCGGGAGAAGGGGGACCAGUCCUGGUGACGACAUUUACUGUCUGAGCUGGGGUUGGUCGCAGAGACCAGAGAGAAGCGACUGUUUACUAAAAACACAGGUCCGUGCGAAGUCGUAAGACGAUGUAUACGGACUGACGCCUCCCCGGUGCUGGAAGGUUAAGAGGACCGGUCAGCCACUUCGGUGGCGAAGCUGAGAAUUUAAGCCCCAGUAAACGGCGGUGGUAACUAUAACCAUCCUAAGGUAGCGAAAUUCCUUGUCGGGUAAGUUCCGACCUGCACGAAUGGCGUAACGACUUCUCUGCUGUCUCAACCACAGACUCGGCGAAAUUGCAGUACGAGUAAAGAUGCUCGUUACGCGCGGCAGGACGAAAAGACCCCGGGACCUUCACUAUAGCUUGGUAUUGGUGUUCGGUUCGGUUUGUGUAGGAUAGGUGGGAGACUGUGAAACUCGCACGCCAGUGUGGGUGGAGUCAUUGUUGAAAUACCACUCUGACCGUAUUGGACAUCUAACCUCGGACCAUGAUCUGGUUCAGGGACAGUGCCUGGUGGGUAGUUUAACUGGGGCGGUUGCCUCCUAAAAAGUAACGGAGGCGCCCAAAGGUUCCCUCAGCCUGGUUGGCAAUCAGGUGUUGAGUGUAAGUGCACAAGGGAGCUUGACUGUGAGACGUACAUGUCGAGCAGGGACGAAAGUCGGGACUAGUGAUCCGGCACCGGCAAGUGGAAGCGGUGUCGCUCAACGGAUAAAAGGUACCCCGGGGAUAACAGGCUGAUCUUCCCCAAGAGUCCAUAUCGACGGGAUGGUUUGGCACCUCGAUGUCGGCUCGUCGCAUCCUGGGGCUGGAGUAGGUCCCAAGGGUUGGGCAGUUCGCCCAUUAAAGCGGCACGCGAGCUGGGUUUAGAACGUCGUGAGACAGUUCGGUCUCUAUCCGCCGCGCGCGUAAGAAACUUGAGGAAACCUGUCCCUAGUACGAGAGGACCGGGACGGACGAACCUCUGGUGUGCCGGUUGUUCCAUCAGGAGCACCGCUGGUUAGCUACGUUCGGAAGGGAUAACCGCUGAAAGCAUCUAAGCGGGAAGCCUGUUCCAAGAUGAGGUUUCUCACCACCUAGCGUGGUUAAGGCCCCCCACAGACCAUGGGGUUGAUAGGCCAGAACUGUAAGCACAGCAAUGUGUUCAGGUGACUGGUACUAAUCGGCCGAGGACGAAAA
rnacentral:rRNA from 1 species